AUGAACUUAAAAUUAAUUUGUAAAAUUAAUCUUUUUUUAGAA
rnacentral:tRNA from 1 species